UGUCACAUCACUAACAGUCCCCGGCUGGAAGAAUCAUCAUGCUACAUAAAUCAUUUGAUGGAAAGAUCCUUAAAUACCAGUUCUGAGCUGGGAUGGGAACAUAAUCCAUUCACUGGAUUCAUUCCGUAAAUUGACAUUCAGUAUGUAGUUCACAAGGUUCUGCCCUCAGGGAAAACGUAGAACACUAACAGAGACACAGAAAUCAACUCCCACCAACAGUGAGCAGAGUGCCAUGUCUGGGUGAGCAGAGUGUCCUGUCUGGAGCCAAUGAACUCACUAUGUGAACACACAGUUAUGACCUGGAGGUCAAAAGAAGCUUUCCAAGCAGGUGACGACUAUGUAGUUUUCUGAAAGUAAUCAUCUUAGUGAGAUACUUCACAUUUGUAUUGGAUCAAAUAAAAAUAAUUCAAUCAAUGAACUUGCCUUGUUAGGAGUCUUUCAUCAUUUAAAUCUCAAAUUACAUACCUCCUGUCUAAGUGUGAUCAAGCACUCGUUCCAUGCAGUUGGGCACAACCAAGCUUGUUUACCAAAGUGAAAACACAUGGCUUGUUAUCCUACAUGAACAACAACCCCAACAUUCCAGGAAGCUAUCUGUCCUUGGGCAAGUGGGAUUUACAGGCACUGAACGAAAAGUUAUCAAGGACUUGGGGUCAAGCUUAAGACAGAUUACAGGACUUGGAAGAUGAGACAAAUAGCUGCUAUGGAAGCAGCCACAGAAGUCUACAAUCCGUAAUAAUCAUGCCAGCCAGUGCACAGAAACGGGGAAAUCAAAAGAACCAACUUGGCCAUAAGCCUCAAAAUAUGAUGCCUUCAUCUUUAGCAACCAUUGAGAAUGGAUGUUCAGUUAAGCAGGCGAUUUCUGUUCUGUUAGAGAUGAUACUUCACAUUUGUAUACAUAAAUACCCACGAUACAG